rnacentral:rRNA from 1 species
AUGAACGCUGGCGGCGUGCCUAAUCCCUGCAAGUCGAGCGAACGGACGAGAAGCUUGCUUCUCUGAUGUUAGCGGCGGACGGGUGAGUAACACGUGGAUAACCUACCUAUAAGACUGGGAUAACUUCGGGAAACCGGAGCUAAUACCGGAUAAUAUUUUGAACCGCAUGGUUCAAAAGUGAAAGACGGUCUUGCUGUCACUUAUAGAUGGAUCCGCGCUGCAUUAGCUAGUUGGUAAGGUAACGGCUUACCAAGGCAACGAUGCAUAGCCGACCUGAGAGGGUGAUCGGCCACACUGGAACUGAGACACGGUCCAGACUCCUACGGGAGGCAGCAGUAGGGAAUCUUCCGCAAUGGCGAAAGCCUGACGGAGCAACGCCGCGUGAGUGAUGAAGGUCUUCGGAUCGUAAAACUCUGUUAUUAGGGAAGAACAUAUGUGUAAGUAACUGUGCACAUCUUGACGGUACCUAAUCAGAAAGCCACGGCUAACUACGUG